CUCAAAAUUCCAAAUUGGCCAAGUUAGUUUUCAAUAAUGGAUUCUUCUUCAAGGAUUUCAUUAUCUCGCGUCGAUCUCAUCAUUGAAACUGCCAGACGAAGAGGAAGAAGAUGAAACCCUUGUCUUGUUGUUGAUGAAGAUCCACUCACCCAAAUAGUUUUUCCUCUCAAGCCUCGAGUUGCCUCUUGGUCUUCUUAAGAUUUUCGCUGUCUUGGUUUAGGCUCCAGAGAUGGUACUGUAUAUGCAUGGAGGCUGGAGCGUCAACAUGCAAAAUUAGGUGGAGUGCGAGAAUAGCGACAUAGGUGUAGCUACUUGCUUGAAGUGGGCGCCUCAUAACUGCUUCCUCGGUUCUAAUGUUUUGGAUUCCUGACGACGCAAAAUAUUCUGUAAACUCGGGCGAUGCUGAACCUGAUGCAGGAAUAUGAAACUAGAUAUAGCUCUGCUUUCUUAUGGUAUUCAUCUUUUGCUUUAUCUCGCAUGCUGGUACUCUUAAAAAAAGAGUCCGUGCUAAACCCUCUUGUCAUUCCUCCUAAAUCUGCUGCUAGUUUCAUGUUUAGACAUUUCAUUCCGAAUUAUCCAAAUAUUCGACAACUUUAGCAGUGUUGCUUUGUUAUUCUUAUUUCUCUUUUCAGAUUAUUAAUACUAUUAAUCAAUCAGUUCCUACACUUCUGCAUCCUAAGAACAUGCCGCAACAUUCGUGGUUGAGUAUGUAAAUUAGUGUAGGUAUCGGCUGAAGUUUGUACAUGUAUGACAAGCACACACCGAAGGAAACACUUUAUGAUAUGAUCAGCCUAAUCAGAGGAUUUGACAUCUUCUUCUCCAGGGUUGGAAGUACAGGUGUGCUACUAGGUCUGUUGGAUUUGUUCGCACUAGAUGAACGUUGUAAAAAAGCUACCCUAUGUACUGCCUGUGGAAUUUUUAGGAACAGAAAGCUAAACGGAAAAUACGUCGCAGUACACCCCACUAUACAAAUUAAAAAUUUCUUUCAGAUAAACCCAACGUGUUAACCAACACGGAUUGGAAGGAUCUUGUGAAAUUUCAAAUUUUGUAGUACCGAAGAACAUCAGGUACUUCGCGGUCACAUUAUCAAGAGCAGAAGCCACCAGACGGGUUAGACCUUGUUCAGUUUUUCAGCUCAUGCAACAAUGGAACUCUGAGAAAUUUUCUGGGCGAUGUUUGUCCAAUAGACAGGCAUACAGCAUUGUCAACCUGAUUUAAUAGAGUUCGAGACCAAAUGUUCUGAAAGUGCCAUGAAGCCUUCCAUGUUUAGCCAAUUUGUCUGCUGCCAAUUUAUUUCUGCACUGAACAGUGCUUUAGAAGGAAUUGAAGCCUUUUGAGAUCAUCAUAGCUUCUUCAGUCCAUAGGGAGUCUGAUAUUUUUUCCUGAAACCUUGAAUACCAGAGCCCCUUUCGAGGCACAAAUAGCUCCAUUUGAGAGGUUGCGAUAAUGGAAAAGCUGACACAAAUUGCUCCUGUGUUCAAUGAGAGUAAUACCAAGACCAGCAAAAGUAGAGCGAGGUUGACAAAAACCAAUGAAUCUGCUAGUAUUAGAAUUAACUAAUCAUCUUGACAAGGAGCUAAAUUGGGUUUGCUGCUGGGUGGCUUUUGCAUCUUUAGAUUCCAAUUUUCCUCGUUUGAUAACUGUAAUCAAGUGGUAUGCAUGGCUUUAUAUUUCACAUAUGAUAUUGUAUCUGGAACUCUUCCACGUGUGCACAAUAUUCGGAACCAAGGGAUCAUGAGCAUUUAGUUGGCGGUGGUACUAAAGCUGAAAAAUAAAACAAACAACUCAAAGUUUUGAGGGAACUUGGAGAAGUUGUUAAGGGAUGAUAGUAAAUCGCGGGCUGGGCCAACAACCGGCCAAAAAUAUUAAAGCGCAGUGUUUAAUGUAUAGGAAUCCUGUGUGAUACUGUUCGAUCUUUCUGCCACUGCUGUGAGUUAGUUGGAGUCCAGGUACCAUUUUCGGGAUUGUGGCUUCAUGAAUUUGAUCACGAGGCUAUAAAAUGUACUUGAAAACUCAAGCCCACCAAUAAGUAGAGUCUUCUUUCGCUUCGUAAACUAAUUUGUAAUGCAGGUGGAUAUGAUUAUCCCCAGCAACAAACUCAUAUGAAACACCAUUAACUUCAAUCGAACUAUUACACGAAUUUUUC